rnacentral:rRNA from 1 species
UACGAAGGGGGCAAGCGUUGUUCGGAAUCAUUGGGCGUAAAGGGCGCGUAGGCGGACUUGUAAGUCGAUUGUGAAAUCCCUGGGCUUAACCCGGGAAUUGCAGUCGAAACUGUAAGUCUUGAGUUCUCGAGAGGAUGGUGGAAUUCCUGGAGUAGUAGUGAAAUACGUAGAUAUCAGGAGGAACACCGGAGGCGAAGGCGGCCAUCUGGCGAGACACUGACGCUAAGGCGCGAAAGCGUGGGUAGCAAACAGG